rnacentral:lncRNA from 1 species
UGGAGAAGUCAGAACCAUCAAACCCCAUCCCAUCCAGACCGGCCCAUCUACUCUCUUCAGCCCUGGCCUCUGCAGGCCGCUACUGGUGUCUGGUCAGGGCCUGCACUCUUCCGUCUCCUUUGGGGCAGUUUUAGGCCCUGAAAGACCGUAGCUAGCUCAGGCUUGGGAUCCAAGGGCCAGAGGUAGAGCCGUGAGAACACAACCCCAAAGCGGGAGAUGGACUCAGGGGGCGGGGCGAUCUCCAGCCCCGCCCCGGCCACACGCUCCAGGGUCAGGAGGAAAGGAUGCUCCCUUCCUUCGGGCGUCUCGGGGGAGACGUCCUCAGAGGUCCUAGUGGAUACGGAGGGGCCUCAGGGCCUAACUCAGGCUCUAACAGAAUCCCUCCCACCCCUUCUGUCACCUGAAGUCGUCAUCGUCGUCGUCGUCCUCGUCGUCUUCGUCAUAGUCCUCCAUCUCUCGGUCGGUGCUGGUCCUGCUGGAGCUUGUCGUGGUGCCCCUGGCCGACGGCCUCUCGAGAUAUUCCGGGCUCAACGAUUUGGGCCCACAGAACUUGGACUCCACCUCAUCCAACAAUGCAGCUCAUUGUCCUUUCAUGUUGAAAUCAUUUUGGCUGUUGGUUCUGACCUCCAACUUGAUUGUUAUGGCUAUCACAAUCGUGGCCUUGGCAAUUGAUCUUUAGAGCAGGAGCCCAUCUGCCAAGGUGAUAACUAGUCAAUCCAAUAAUAUAUCAGAUAACCAGUGUGCUACUGGGGCAGUAGAAAGAGCAUUCCAUUUUGAGCCAUGAAGCUUGACUUUGAACCCUUGCUCUGCUGCCUAUUAAUUGUGCAACCCUGAGUAAGUCACUUCUCUUCUAAAGACACCAUGCAACUCUCUAAAUCUAUAAUUUACAGAAGAGUUCCUGAUCUGUAGCAGCUGAGGGAGUUGUACACGGGGAGUUUCCAGACUGAUAAAAUCUCCCUAAAACAAAAUAAAACUGAUUUCAAUAAUAAACUGCA